UACGUAGGUGGCAAGCGUUAUCCGGAUUUACUGGGUGUAAAGGGCGAGUAGGCGGGAUUGCAAGUCAGAUGUGAAAACUAUGGGCUCAACCGAUAGAGUGCAUUUGAAACUGCAGUUCUUGAGUGAUGGAGAGGCAGGCGGAAUUCCCGGUGUAGCGGUGAAAUGCUUAGAUAUCAGGAGGAACAUCGGUGGCGUAAGCGCUUUACUGGGCCGUAAUUGACGCUGAGGAACGAAAGCCAGGGUAGCAAAUGGG
rnacentral:rRNA from 1 species